AGGACCAGAGAGAACCCCUGGCAAACAGUUCUGUAAGAUCUGGACCAUGUUCCAGAUUAUUUUUUUCUCUCUAAAAUCUUUAAUAUUUAAAGGGACGGGAAGAGGUGUGAAGGAGAAUAUGGGAAAGAAAUAUCCUGUGAGGAAGAACGCUACUGAAGUUUACAAAUGAAAUAGACUGGAUUUUUACUAAGAGAUUCAACAGGUUUGAUUGUUGCUGGAGUUACUAUUAAGAGGCAGGGAAUGAAAAUCAUGUUGUUCAAGGGCAGUGACUGGGAAUAUGUAAAAAAUAUUUGUUUCUCUGUAAAGACGAAACUACACAUGAACUCAUGUAGAAUUGUUUUGUCUAGUGUCAACUGUGUGAAGCGAAAGGAGUCAUGCGCAGAGAGCAGUGAGACAACAGCGUGGGUGGGAGGCUACUCUGCAGAAGAGGGAAGGCAUCGCUGGGUUAGAAGCAUUCCAAAGUGUUCAUUCCAAAGUGUAAGGCAAAUACAAGAGGCUUUCUAGAUUGAGACUGAGAAGACCCAUGGAGACGGAGUGUGGUCCCAAGGAGAAGUGUGGGCAGUGACACAUGGUCUCUCCGAUGGUGUGAGCACAGCUGAGGAUUAAACCCCUGCCACCAGGAGCAUGCACAUACCCAGGAAGCUGCGGAAGAGGCCCAGAGCUAGGAUGAUAAAGUUCUUCCAUGAAAAUCAAACAGCAAGCCCGUGUGUUGUCCUGAAGACCACAUAGUAAGCAUGGCAACAGCAACAGCUUCUCUGCUAACCUGAGGACAAUGAAUGACAAGGAUUGAGAACACACCAUCCCAAAGCUCUCGUUCCAUGGCUCUGGUUUGAGACCCAGAAUAAGGAGCUCUUUCUCCUUGGCUUUAAACAUCAGGCGUGGGACUCUUGUUCAGGAGCUGCCCUGCCUCUCAUCUGAGCACAGCCCCAUAACCACAGUAAGGAAUGCACAGACCGCCAGAGACGGACGUGGGCUUCGCUCCUCUCCACCAAUGCUCCCGGCUUCUUCCCUAAUGUGAAUUACAGGUCUCUCGGCACAAUCCCUCCACCUCUUCCUGCUACACUUAUGCAAAUAGUCGCUCUGAAUCCAA
rnacentral:lncRNA from 1 species